UGGGGAAUUUGGACAAUGGCGAAAGCCUGAUCCAGCAAUGCCGCGUGUGUGAAGAAGGCCUUUGGGUUGUAAAGCACUUUUUGUCCGGAAAGAAAUCCUUGGCUCUAAUACAGUCGGGGGAUGACGGUACCGGAAGAAUAAGCACCGGCUAACUACGUGCCAGCAGCCGCGGUAAUACGUAGGGUGCAAGCGUUAAUCGGAAUUACUGGGCGUAAAGCGUGCGCAGGCGGUUUGCUAAGACCGAUGUGAAAUCCCCGGGCUCAACCUGGGAACUGCAUUGGUACUGGGCAGGCUAGAGUAUGGGCAGAGGGGGGUAGAAUUCCACGUGUGAGCAGUGAAAUGCGUAGAGAUGUGGAGGAAUACGAUGGCGAAGGCAGCCCCCUGGG
rnacentral:rRNA from 1 species